CAGAUCAGCACCACAGAGGAGGAGCGGUUCAAUUUCAGACACAGCACAGCUCUCGGACAAGCAGGUCCGGCAGUGACGAGCACUUCGAAACCAGGCGACGGAGUUUUUCGAUGGAGUAUCAAGGCGCUGUGGCGGUGUGAUAUCGAUCUACAGUAUCACCAGGCCAUUUCAUUUCAUCAGUCCAGCUGACAGAAGGUCGAGCCACCCCAGCCAUGGCCUCCUGGGAGCUAGCAGCUCUGCUAUUAACAAUAGUUAUCUCAUUAGCGUGGCUGAAGAUAAUCCUAUG